rnacentral:lncRNA from 10 species
CUCCCCAGAGCGUGCAAGGUAGAACUCUGCAGUACAAACCUUUACAGCUGCUGGGCAUAGGAGACCUUCUAGUAGAGGACAGGAGGCUUGGGUUCUAGUUACAGUUCUGCCACAGUGUCACCUUAGGUGACACAGGCCCAGGCUUCGCUGCUGGGCCUGUUACUUCAUCUGCACAAUGGAAACUCAAUUCUAUUUAAAUUACUUUCUAAAGGGCCUCAGUCUGCAGAGACACAGAAGCAAAUGAUUGUAUGAAGCUCCUGACUGUAUGAAGUUCUCAGUCAAACAAAAUAGUACCUCUUCUGCCCAUCUCAGAGGUGGAUAAGGAUAAAGUGAAAUAAUGGAAAGCACAAGGAACAGUAAAAGGCAAAUGUCAAGAAGCUGUUUGCAAAGUUACCAAGAUGUAAAAUUAGAUUUUACUUAUUAAUAAUCAUGUCACUUGUCAUUCUGUUUAUAAUGGUCAAUUCACUGCUGAUAUUCAAGUGGACCGUUUAAACUGUAUUUUUGCUCAGCUAUCCCUCCAAAUAAAUAUCUCAAAAUCUUGACUGUU